rnacentral:rRNA from 1 species
UACGUAGGCAGCAAGCGUUGUUCGGAGUUACUGGGCGUAAAGAGUGCGUAGGUGGUGCCCUAAGUCUGUUGUGAAAUCUCCCGGCUUAACUGGGAGGGUGCGGUGGAAACUGGGGUGCUUGAGUGUGGGAGAGGUAAGCGGAAUUCCUGGUGUAGCGGUGAAAUGCGUAGAUAUCUGGAGGAACACCCGUGGUGCAGACGGCUUGCUGGACCGUGACUGACGCUGAGGCACGAAAGCGUGGGUAGCAAACAGG